rnacentral:rRNA from 1 species
AAAUUGAAGAGUUUGAUCAUGGCUCAGAUUGAACGCUGGCGGCAGGCCUAACACAUGCAAGUCGAACGGUAACAGGAAGCAGCUUGCUGUUUCGCUGACGAGUGGCGGACGGGUGAGUAAUGUCUGGGAAACUGCCUGAUGGAGGGGGAUAACUACUGGAAACGGUGGCUAAUACCGCAUAACGUCGCAAGACCAAAGAGGGGGACCUUCGGGCCUCUUGCCAUCAGAUGUGCCCAGAUGGGAUUAGCUAGUUGGUGAGGUAACGGCUCACCAAGGCGACGAUCCCUAGCUGGUCUGAGAGGAUGACCAGCCACACUGGAACUGAGACACGGUCCAGACUCCUACGGGAGGCAGCAGUGGGGAAUAUUGCACAAUGGGCGCAAGCCUGAUGCAGCCAUGCCGCGUGUAUGAAGAAGGCCUUCGGGUUGUAAAGUACUUUCAGCGGGGAGGAAGGUGUUGUGGUUAAUAACCGCAGCAAUUGACGUUACCCGCAGAAGAAGCACCGGCUAACUCCGUGCCAGCAGCCGCGGUAAUACGGAGGGUGCAAGCGUUAAUCGGAAUUACUGGGCGUAAAGCGCACGCAGGCGGUCUGUCAAGUCGGAUGUGAAAUCCCCGGGCUCAACCUGGGAACUGCAU